GUGAACGCUGGCGGUAGGCCUAACACAUGCAAGUCGAACGGCAGCACAGUAAGAGCUUGCUCUUACGGGUGGCGAGUGGCGGACGGGUGAGGAAUACAUCGGAAUCUACUUUUUCGUGGGGGAUAAUGUAGGGAAACUUACGCUAAUACCGCAUACGACCUACGGGUGAAAGCAGGGGAUCUUCGGACCUUGCGCGAUUGAAUGAGCCGAUGUCGGAUUAGCUAGUUGGCGGGGUAAAGGCCCACCAAGGCGACGAUCCGUAGCUGGUCUGAGAGGAUGAUCAGCCACACUGGAACUGAGACACGGUCAAGACUCCUACGGGAGGCGGCAGUGGGGAAUAUUGGACAAUGGGCGCAAGCCUGAUCCAGCCAUACCGCGUGGGUGAAGAAGGCCUUCGGGUUGUAAAGCCCUUUUGUUGGGAAAGAAAAGCAGCAGGUUAAUACCCCGCUGUUCUGACGGUACCCAAAGAAUAAGCACCGGCUAACUUCGUG
rnacentral:rRNA from 1 species